UUUUUUGUAUAAAUAUAUCCCAUGCAAUAUUUGGAACAUACUUAUACUAACA
rfam:Macaca mulatta chromosome 12, whole genome shotgun sequence.